GACGAACGCUGGCGGCGUGCUUAACACAUGCAAGUCGAACGGUAAGGCCCUGACUUGGGGCGGUGCGCGAGAGGCGAACGGGUGAGUAAUAGGAGAGUAGCCUGUCCUGGGCUUGGGGAUAACUUCAGGCAACUGGGGCUAAUACCGAAUAGGAGCUCAAGCCGCAAGGACGCGGUUGGAAAGCUUCGGCGGAUGGGGAUGGACACGGGGCUUAUCAGUUGGUUGGGGGGGUAGUGGCUUACCAAGGCUUUGACGGGUAGCCGGCCUGAGAGGGUGACCGGACCCAUUACGCCUGAGAUACGGCCCAGUCUCCAACGGUAGGCAGGGGUGGGGAGUAUUGCACAAUGGGCGGGAGCCUAAUGCAGCGACGCCGCGUGCGGGAUGACGGCCUGCGAGUUGUAAACCGCUUUCGCCUGUUACGAGGCGUGAAUGACGGUAAUGGGUGAAGAAGCACCGGCUAACUACGUG
rnacentral:rRNA from 1 species